rnacentral:lncRNA from 1 species
CCGCCUUUUGUACCAUGUUCACAAGGAAUUGGUGCUCUGAAAUUCAAUAAAUUUUUGCAGGUUUCCUCUCAGUUGCUCAUGUUCACAGCAAGUAACCAUAUGGUUUUCCAUAGGCAACUGCACAACAUUAUUUUUCAGGAGGACAAUUAAUCAACUUAUUUCACAUUCAGUACACUACAAACAACUGCUGACACAAUGAGGUUCAACCAUGCUCUUAGCCACCGGAUGUCAUAGUUGGUGCCUUGAUUGAAAAUAUAAGGGCGUUUAGAUCACUAUAGUGAUCUAAACACUCUUAUAUUUCUUUACAAGGGAGUAUUUGAUAGUUCAUAGUUGAUAGCACUGAAUAAAAUAUUCCAGAAUAUUACUUAUGUAUCUUAACAGUUAAGGCUUCAUUCGGUUUGAAGGAUUUUCAUAGGAAAAACAUAGGAAUAAGAAUUUCGAAGGAAAAUGCCCUAUAUAUGCAUUCGGUUUGUAGGAAAUGUGUACAGGAAUUUCGUAGGAAUACUACUCAUUUCCUGUGUUUUUGGAGGAAACUACACAUCCACUCAAAGCUCAUUUUACGCGUAGGAACGAGACAAGUCAAUUCCUUAGGAUGGCAAAUGCCAUCCUAUCAAAUUCCUAUACUACUCCUAAUUCCUACGUUUUGAUUUCCUCCAAACCGAAUGAGCCCUUGCUCUUUGUUUUUGCUAGCGUGUAUCAGAUUGGUUAUUGUCGUUUCAAUACAGUUUGCGGUUUUAGUAUUUUUUUAUCAUACUGAAGCUUUCGUUAGAUUUUUUGUGGGAGUUUCAAGAGAAAUUUGUUUCUUUGCUUGCAGCCCCUAUUUUAGUGUUCAGCCCUGGUAUAGUUGAAGAAUAAUAUGGAGAGAAGUCCCCCAUCAGCAUAUCUGAGCUUAGGUACAAUUGAACUCUCUUUCUUGAUGCCAUUUUACUUCAUGCUUCACAUUUUAUUACAUGAUUCACUUGCCCGAACAAAUAAUGUGGUUAACAAUCUUAUUUCAGAUGAUUGAGUUAAAUGAAUAUUAUGGAGAUGAAACCUUUUAUCAGGUUGUUUGAGUUUAAGUUCAAAUUCUUCUCUGGUUCAAGGCUUCAAACUGCUCUUUUCUAUCAGGUUUGCAUGAGCUAAAAUAAUAAGAUAUUACGAAGUCUUUCAUCACCUGAUUUGAGUGAUCGUAUAUUAGUAUCACACAAUUUCCCAAUUUUUUUUUAUUAAUGUGGCAUCUCUUCAGUAUUGAAGGACGAUACAAGAUGUAGCUAAGGAGUUGUCUCUGAUGAUCAACAUGCUAUGCUAAAGUGUUUGCUUCAUCAUUGGGCUUCCAUUUGUCACAAUUGUUGCCUUCUUCUUCCCUCUUCAUUAAUACCAGAGUUUGUUUUGACUAAUUGUUUGUUCAUGUGUGUUUCGGUGUUACAAUGUGAUCUCCCGGUGAUUCCAAUUGCCAGAUUAUCAUCCCAAGUGUUGGUUUGGGCACAAUUUUUUUGUUGUAUAUACUUUAGUCAAUUGUCCAAUUAUUGUUUUGUUUAUGACAUCAUAGUGCCACUAAAUUAUUAAUAUUUACAAAAUGUAAAUCAACUUGAUGAAUGAGGUACCAUGAAUUAUAUGCUCUCUUUCAAG